CUAACGGCUGAACCAGCAACUUGGAGGAAUGUAUAGCAAUAGCUGAUUGCACCAACAAAUACUUGAUGCAAUAUUGACUCUGUCAAAUAAAAUUCUAGGUAGAAUUAUGAUAAUGACAUUGUCUGCCUAUAUGUCUUGACCAAAUUACGUGCCAGCAGUCGCGGUAAUACGUAGAAGACUAGUGUUAUUCAUCUUUAAUAGGUUUAAAGGGUACCUAGACGGUAAAUCAAGCCUUCACAGGGACUAAUUUACUAGAGUUACUUACGAGGGGGUAUUAAAGUACUGCAGGUGUAGAGAUGAAAUUCUGUCAUACCUCUUUUCAAAAGAAAAAUUAUGGCACAGGUAUAGGUGAAAGCAUCCCCUUAUGUGAUAACUGACGUUGAAGGACGAAGGCUUUGUGUCGCGAACAGGAUUAGAUACCCCAGUAGUCAAAGCAGAAAAUGAUGAAUGUCAUAGAUUAGAUAAAUAGUUUAUUCUAUAAAUGAAAAUGUAAGCAUUCCACCUCAAGAGUAAUUUGGCAACAUUGGAACUGAAAUCAUUAGACCGUUUCUGAAACCAGUAGUGAAGUAUGUUGUUUAAUUUGAUGAUCCGCAAAAAACCUUACCACAAUUUGAAUAUUUAUAUCUAUCUUUUUUUUCGUAAAGAAAUAAAAAGGUAAUAUGUUUACAAGCGUUGCACGGCUGUCUUCAGUUAAUGUCGCGAGACUUUGGUUAGUUCCAUUAAAUUAACGUAAACCCUUACUUUAUUUUUAUAUGAAGUAGUUCCCCGCUAUAUUGGAUAUGAUAACAGGGACUAAGACAAGUCAUCAUGGCCUAAAUAUUGU
rnacentral:rRNA from 1 species